GGAACCGUGCCUGAAUUUACAAGGACCACUUUGAUAGAGUGGCCUAUGAGGGUUAAAAUCCCUCCAGUUCCU
rnacentral:tRNA from 1 species